rnacentral:rRNA from 1 species
CCUACGGGUGGCAGCAGUGAGGAAUAUUGGUCAAUGGGCGCGAGCCUGAACCAGCCAAGUCGCGUGAGGGAUGAAGGUUCUAUGGAUCGUAAACCUCUUUUAUAAGGGAAUAAAGUGUGGGACGUGUCCUAUUUUGUAUGUACCUUAUGAAUAAGGAUCGGCUAACUCCGUGCCAGCAGCCGCGGUAAUACGGAGGAUCCGAGCGUUAUCAGGAUUUAUUGGGUUUAAAGGGUGCGUAGGCGGCCUUUUAAGUCAGCGGUGAAAGUCUGUGGCUAAACCAUAGAAUUGCCGGUGAAAGUGGGGGGGUUGAGUAUGUUAGGGGCAGGAGGACUGCGUGGGGGAGCGGUGA